rnacentral:pre_miRNA from 1 species
UAUAACAUCGUCGUUGUCUUUUAGUUCACGUUUGACCUUUUGUCUUAUUUAAAAAAAUUAUAUAAUUACUAAUUAUUUUGUUAUAAUAUGAUUAUAGGAACUUUAAGUAUGCUUUAUAAUUUUACAUAUUUAGAUAUAAAAUUUGAAUAAGACGAACGGUCAAACGUAAAUUCAAAAGUCAACGGUGUCAUAUAAG